rnacentral:rRNA from 1 species
GAUGAACGCUGGCGGCGUGCCUAAUACAUGCAAGUCGAGCGAACAGACGAGGAGCUUGCUCCUCUGACGUUAGCGGCGGACGGGUGAGUAACACGUGGAUAACCUACCUAUAAGACUGGGAUAACUUCGGGAAACCGGAGCUAAUACCGGAUAAUAUAUUGAACCGCAUGGUUCAAUAGUGAAAGACGGUUUUGCUGUCACUUAUAGAUGGAUCCGCGCCGCAUUAGCUAGUUGGUAAGGUAACGGCUUACCAAGGCAACGAUGCGUAGCCGACCUGAGAGGGUGAUCGGCCACACUGGAACUGAGACACGGUCCAGACUCCUACGGGGGGCAGCAGUAGGGAAUCUUCCGCAAUGGGCGAAAGCCUGACGGAGCAACGCCGCGUGAGUGAUGAAGGUCUUCGGAUCGUAAAACUCUGUUAUUAGGGAAGAACAAAUGUGUAAGUAACUAUGCACGUCUGGACGGUACCUAUCAGAAAGCCACGGCUAACUACGUG